rnacentral:lncRNA from 1 species
GGGGCCACAGCAAAACUAAACACCUUGGAUAGAAUGGUUCAUCCAGAUGUGCUAGCUAGAAAUAUUGCACCCUCAGGACUCAAGGCUGAGCUGCCUCCCCACUUGAUGGGCAUGAGGUCACCAAGCCUGCCUCCCAGCCGUGAAUCAUACAAAGGAAAGAGCCAGAAAGACCUGGGAAGUGGAUUCAGGGAUCUCUCCUCUACACACCUCAGGAGGAAAGGAGUAACACUGGUGUUAUGCCUGCUCAGCCCAUCCAGUUGAACUGGCAAUCUCCCAGAAGAGUACCAACUAAGCCCAUUGGCUCAGCCCUUGGUAUCAGUUGCUAUGAGCAAGGGGAUUUGCUUCAUGGGGCUGGCUCUCCCUUCUUCUUUGGAAGUGGUUCUCAACUUCCUAAUACUGUGUGACCCUUUAAUACAGUGCCUCAUGUUGUGGUAACAUUCAACUAUAAGAUUAUUCACUUGCUACCCCAAGACUGUAAUUUUUCGACUGUUAUAAAUUGUAAUGUAAAUAUCUGAUAUGCAACCACUGUGGGGGUCGUGACCCACAAGUUGAGAAUUACUGUUCUAGGUGGUUCCACCAGGGUUAGUGAAGGGGUGGAAGCAGAGGGCCCCCUUGUGUGCUUGUUUCCUUCAGGGCUUCUGGUGAGUCUGAGAAGUCUGGUUGCCGUGGUAACUGUCACAGGAGAAAAUUGUGGGUUCAGGUUGUAGUUUCUAAGAAAAAGACCUCCAGUGAUUGUUUGACAAGAGUGCUCAGUG